rnacentral:rRNA from 1 species
UACGUAGGGGGCUAGCGUUGUCCGGAAUCAUUGGGCGUAAAGCGCGUGUAGGCGGUCCGGUAAGUCCGCUGUGAAAGUCGGGGGCUCAACCCUCGAAUGCCGGUGGAUACUGUCGGACUAGAGUUCGGAAGAGGCGAGUGGAAUUCCUGGUGUAGCGGUGAAAUGCGCAGAUAUCAGGAGGAACACCCAUUGCGAAGGCAGCUCGCUGGGACGUUACUGACGCUGAGACGCGAAAGCGUGGGGAGCAAACAGG